rnacentral:rRNA from 1 species
CCUGGUGAAAUUAGCGCUGUGGAACCACCCGAUCCCAUCCCGAACUCGGAAGUGAAACGCAGCCGCGCCGAUGGUAGUGUGGCUCAAGCCAUGCGAGAGUAGGUCAUCGCCAGGGGCUUUAUCCCCAAACCCCCAGCCACC